rnacentral:rRNA from 1 species
UACGGGGGGGGCAAGCGUUGUUCGGAAUUACUGGGCGUAAAGGGCUCGUAGGCGGCCAACUAAGUCGGAUGUGAAAUCCCCAGGCUCAACCUGGGAACUGCAUCCGAUACUGGAUGGCUUGAAUCCGGGAGAGGGAUGCAGAAUUCCAGGUGUAGCGGUGAAAUGCAUAGAUAUCUGGAGGAAUACCGGUGGCGAAGGCGGCAUCCUGGACCGGCAUUGACGCUGAGGAGCGAAAGCCAGGGGAGCAAACGGG